UUUGUUUUUAUUGAAGCUCAAAAAUCUUGCCAUAAAUUUACUUAGACUGUUUUCGAAUCUCAGAUGAUGUUCGUAUCCCAUAAAUGAAGUAGAUCAAAUAACCUGGAACAUAAAAACGAAAAUCUAUUGGCCAUCUAAAUGAAAUU